rnacentral:rRNA from 1 species
UACGGGGGGGGGCAAGCGUUGUUCGGAAUUACUGGGCGUAAAGGGCUCGUAGGUGGCCAACUAAGUCAGACGUGAAAUCCCUCGGCUUAACCGGGGAACUGCGUCUGAUACUGGAUGGCUUGAGGUUGGGAGAGGGAUGCGGAAUUCCAGGUGUAGCGGUGAAAUGCGUAGAUAUCUGGAGGAACACCGGGUGGCGAAGGCGGCAUCCUGGACCAAUUCUGACGCUGAGGAGCGAAA